CUGAGAAAUUGUCACCAUUGGACUCCAUUGUGACUGAGUGAAUUCAGACUUUUCUGUAUCAAUGAGGAAAUGACCUUUUACAUCAUUCAAGCAUACAGCAGGGACUGCAGAUAACCUUCCUGUGGGUCACAGAGCAGGGAGGAGAUGCGAUGAUUAUUCCUCAUACAGCGAACGUUGGUGUCCCUCCACAAGGGGAAGAUCUGACGAAUGAUAGUCAUCCUCCCCAGAGAGCUGUGAACCAGCUCCAUGAUGUCUGCAUCACUCACCUCCUGAAGAUGAAGACAGCAGUUUAGUUUAACAAGUGGCUUUUCUUUAGGUCUAAAGUGUAGUAGCACUUUUAAUCAGAUUGUGAUUUUCGUGCCGUGAGGAAUCAUAACACAAACCAUGAAUCUUUUUUUGGAAAACAGUUUUCUAAGUGGAAAUUUGGAUAAGAAACAAAACCUCUGAGGGGGUCUGCGUUGGCUGUGCCUGCUUCUUUAGCGAUUAAAAUAUCAGAUGACGCAGGGCAACUACAGAGCAAUCAGUUACGAGACAAACUGAGGUAAAGUGAGGAAAAUUCCAACAAGUAAAAUGGGGACAACUGAUAGAGGCUAGGGUUUAAAAAGAAACUUGUAUGCUCAAUUUGAUUUUAAGAAUUUCAUUUUUCUGUUGAUGUUUGUAGGACACAACCCCAGUGCACAUUAACAGUAAUCAUCCAAAGCUUAAUUCACACCUAAUUUCUGUCCCAGCAUUCGUUUAUUUAAUCACUUGAAUCAACUGAGUCUAUGUUUUUAGGUCGAAAGACAAAGGAAAAAAAUAAUGAAUUGUUAUUUUUAUAAGUCAAAUUUUAUGCAGGAAACUAACUUAUAGGAAACUUGCCCAAAUGUUAUUCACAUUAGACUGACAAAUCAAUGAACAUUUCAAGUAUAUCCUCACAAUAAUAGUGCAAGAGACCCUUGGCCCUCUUGAGUGGGGCAAUGCAUGAGUGGAAGGUUAGUGGAGAUCUGCCCUGUGAAGGGAUGGAUCAAUAUUCAUGAGACAGCGAGUUCCCUGCUGGUCUCCAGAGUAGGACAAUGGUCAAUGCUGAGGCAGACAAUGAGUCUCUUGGGAAAUGCUGGGUUCAUAUACUAUCUGACAAUAAAGCUGUUGGGUUUCUGUCAGGUCAAAAUUUAA